AUAUCCUUAAAGAUUUAGUUAAUAUAUUAUAUGCAAUUCACAUAACUAUAAAUUCAUCAAAGUAAAUAAUUUAUUUAAAUUUUAUAUCAACAAAACCAUCAAAUUACUAAAAUCAAAUAAAUCAAAAAAUUAAUAUUAAAAAUUAAAAUGUUAAAUAAUUAAAUACUCAAAUCAAAAUGAUUUAUAGUUCGGAUAAAUUUUAUAAAUUUUAUAUUUUAUCUUUAAUCU
rnacentral:lncRNA from 1 species